CAGGACGGGACAUAAGAAGGGGGGGGGCAAAACCCAAGCACUCGUCUCUAGUCAGCGCUGCCCCCCUGCCAAGCCUGGUCUGCACAUUCCUUAAGGGGACACACUUCCCGAAAACAACCCAGGGAAAUAAGCUGAAAAAGAGAGCGGAAAACGGCAAAAACUUUCCUGGGAAGUCCGGCUGCCUGAGAGCCCAGAGCCUGUUCCAUCCAACAUGGCAGUGUCAGGACGAGACCAUUAUUGUGUGAUGGGGGUGACGCAGUGACUCAACCGUGUCCAUUAAACGUAACGAGAAAGAGUGUGGUACAGUCCAGUCCGCCCCUGGCUUUUAUGACAGGAAUGUGUGCAGAAUGGGAGGAGGUAAGUCAAGAGACAAGGUGCAUGUUGCCAACAUAAUAGUCUUAGCUCCUUCGCUUACUUUUAAAAUUAAUGCAAAUCUUACACCACCUUUAAAUUAAACACCUUAUCUUGAAGCACUGACUUAUUUAAAUGAUAAUUCACUUCCUCUGAAGGAAGCAAAAAGGUUAUUGAAGUGAUUUCUCCCUUGGAUUUAAGACUCAUUAGCUACUGGGAUGAUUCAUGACAAUGCACUAAAUAUAGCUGACAAUACAUUGAGGUAAAAUUAAGACUGCUCCAGUUGCUGUGCGUACCCUCAGGGGUAGCAUGACCGGCACUUGAAUGUUAUUUCUGCACUGCCAUCGAUUUUCUAUAUCGCUUGGCCUUAAUAGGAUCACAGGUGAGCUGGAGCCUAUCCCAGUGGGGUAAACCCUUAGACAAACAAGCAUCCACAUUCACAUUCAAAUAAUUUUAUGUGUCUCUUCAUUCAUUUUUUAUUAUCAUAACUUUUGUAAUUUAAUCGCUUGCAUGACUAAUUUUGUCACUAUUGUCCGUGGAUUUUGCAACAUGCUGCGUCAAGCUCAUCAAUGGGUGUUGGUUGCGUUGUGGAAAGAAUAUACACUCCAUUUGUGAUUUUGACGCAUGCUUUAUUUAAAAUCAAAUCAAAUCAACUUUAUUUGUAUAACACUUUUCCUGCAAAGACAUGAAACACAAAGUGCUUUACAGAAUUAAAACAAUUACCACAAUUAAAAGGAAAAAACAAAACAAAA